UACGUAGGAUGCAAGCGUUGUCCGGAAUUAUUGGGCGUAAAGAGCGCGCAGGCGGUUUGCCAAGUCAGAUGUGAAAGAGGCCGGCUUAACCGGCAAGGGUCAUUUGAAACUGACAGACUAGAGUGCAGCAGAGGAUAGCGGAAUUCCCGGUGUAGUGGUGAAAUGCGUAGAUAUCGGGAGGAACACCAGUGGCGAAGGCGGCUAUCUGGGCUGCAACUGACGCUGAGGAGCGAAAGCAUGGGGAGCGAACAGG
rnacentral:rRNA from 1 species